UGUCACAGGGUUUUACGAAGACGACGGAACUCAAGAAAUGAAAGGAAACGAUGAAUCAAUUUACACGUUUUGACCUAAAACUGGUAAAGAAAACUUGAUCUCAAAUAUCGCUUACCGCUCAGAACAAAUUUGCUCCAGUGUGGUGAUUUAUGGAAAGAAAAAUGAUAACAGCGGUUGCAAAAUGCGCGUAGAGACAGGAUGGAGAGCAUUUGGACAAUCCGCCAGGAUGGGUGGCCCAUCAGUAUACUGUAGGUUCAGCCUUAAGAAUGGAUUUUUGGAUUUAUCCUAAUUUAUGACUGCUUUGCUGUGAAAUCCAAUUACUAGCUGAAGCAGGACAAAAGAAACGUGGAAUAUCGUCGUGGAUCAGUGGGCCCUGAUCGACUUCCUUUGGUGCCAGUAGUAAAUAUGUCACCUAGUCUGAGAGUUGGUCAUAAAGAGUACUAGUGCCGACGUGGAAGUUACAAUGAUAUUUUCUUUCAACAUCCGCAAUAGAUUCGGU